AUGGUAUGGAACACUAAAAGCACAUUAUGAUUCCAGAAUUGUGUGCACAUAAUGAAAAUCCAUACUGAAAGGAAAGAACUAUUUAAUUAUAAUAGAACAGUUGUUUAUUAGUGGUUAUGAUCAAUCAAGCCUUGUUUGAUCGAAGCGAAAAAUUAUAAAUUGUUUUCUUUCUCUCUAUUAGUUUGUUGUCAUGAAAGGAACUGAUCCCACCACUAACUAGUUUCUGCCCAAGAAAAAAAAAAAUCUUAAAUCUGUUUCACAUUUUCAAUACAAAAAUGUAGAGUAAGAAAACUAUGUUUAUUUACGCACACAUUUUGCUUCCAAACCAUGCAUCUGCAAGAAAAUCAAUUCCUUUCACUUUUUGUUAUUUUCCCAUGAAAAUUCUCUUACAAAGCUUCUUGACAACCAAGUAGAGCCUUAUAUGAAUUGAAUCAAAACCAUAGUGUAAGAAGUGGAGCUUCAAAUCAAGGCUGGACUCUUCUGGAAAAUAUUUUUGAUUCAGUGACCUAAGUGGACAUUGUUUAUAGAUGAUUAUCUUAAUGUUUUCACAAUGAUUUUUCAGGAAAUGGUGAAAGACAAGAAG
rnacentral:misc_RNA from 1 species